rnacentral:tRNA from 1 species
AGCAGUGUGGCUCAGUGGAAAGAGCCCGGGCUUGAGAGUCAGAGGUCAUGGGUUUGAAUUCUGUCUCUGCCA